GGUCUUGACAUACCAUUGACAGGCGCAGAGAUGUGCUCUCCUUCGGGCAAUGGAUACAGGUGGUGCAUGGUUGUCGUCAGCUCGUGCCGUGAGGUGUUGGGUUAAGUCCCGCAACGAGCGCAACCCUCAUUGUUAGUUAUUACCAUUCAGUUGAGGACUCUAAUGAGACUGCCAACGAUAAGUUGGAGGAAGGUGGGGGAUGACGUCAAAUCAUCAUGCCCUUUAUGACCUGGGCUACAAACGUACUACAAUGGCCAAUACAAAGAGAUGCGAAGCGGUGACGUGGAGCGAACCUCAGAAAGUUGGUCUCAGUUCAGAUUGAAGUCUGCAACUCGACUUCAUGAAGGCGGAAUCGCUAGUAAUCGCGGGUCAGCAGACCGCGGUGAAUACGUUCCCGGGUUUU
rnacentral:rRNA from 1 species